AGAGUUUGAUCAUGGCUCAGGAUGAACGCUAGCUACAGGCUUAACACAUGCAAGUCGAGGGGAAACGACAUCGAAAGCUUGCUUUUGAUGGGCGUCGACCGGCGCACGGGUGAGUAACGCGUAUCCAACCUGCCCACCACUUGGGGAUAACCUUGCAAAAGUAAGACUAAUACCCAAUGACGUCUCUAGAAGACAUCUGAAAGAGAUUAAAGAUUUAUCGGUGAUGGAUGGGGAUGCAUCUGAUUAGCUUGUUGGCGGGGUAACGGCCACAAGGCGACGAUCAGUAGGGGUUCUGGAGAGGAAGGUCCCCCANAUUGGAACUGAGACACGGUCCAAACUCCGUACGGGAGGCA
rnacentral:rRNA from 1 species